GACGAACGCUGGCGGCGUGCUUAACACAUGCAAGUCGAACGGAAAGGCCCUGCUUUUGUGGGGUGCUCGAGUGGCGAACGGGUGAGUAACACGUGAGUAACCUGCCCUUGACUUUGGGAUAACUUCAGGAAACUGGGGCUAAUACCGGAUAGGAGCUCCUGCUGCAUGGUGGGGGUUGGAAAGUUUCGGCGGUUGGGGAUGGACUCGCGGCUUAUCAGCUUGUUGGUGGGGUAGUGGCUUACCAAGGCUUUGACGGGUAGCCGGCCUGAGAGGGGGACCGGCCACAUUGGGACUGAGAUACGGCCCAGACUCCUACGGGAGGCAGCAGGGGGGAAUAUUGCACAAUGGGCGGAAGCCUGAGGCAGCAACGCCGCGUGCGGGAUGACGGCCUUCGGGUUGUAAACCGCUUUCGCCUGUGACGAAGCGUGAGUGACGGUAAUGGGUAAAGAAGCACCGGCUAACUACGUG
rnacentral:rRNA from 1 species